rnacentral:rRNA from 1 species
GGGUAAAGGCCCACCAAGGCGACGAUCAGUAGCCGGCCUGAGAGGGGUGAACGGCCACACUUGGGACUGAGACACGGCCCAAACUCCUACGGAAGGCAGCAG